CUUCUUCAUUUUUGUGGGUGCCGAAUACACCAUAACUCACAACACCAAGCUUUAUACUUUUAUUUUCUCUCAAAAAUUUCUUCACGAAAAUUGUCGGGAAUAUUGCGUAGAUCGUGUAUGUGUGUUUGCAUGUUCGUUUGAGGCGAGUAGUUUGACGUGUGGAUUUCCAAUUUCUUGUUCCGGGAAUCCCUAGCUUGAAUAAAGUGAGAAUGACUUUCCUUUGUGUGUCUAGAGUUGCAGUAGCUAGAAUAAAUGAACGGUGGUACCUUAGUAGUCGUUGGACUUAUUUAUGCCUUAUAUUUUAUUAUAACGCUUAAACUCUGAUAAUAUGUAAUAUGUGAAUGCUGUGCGAAAGUCCGAGCGACUGCACGAGUAUAAAAUGCGGCGAGCGCAUCUGCAUAAUGAAAUGCAGUUAAAUCCAUAAUGAAA